ACUUGGAGGAAUGUAUAGCAAUUGCUAAUUGUAUCAGUAUAUUAUUGACGCAAUAUCGACUUGGUCGGAUAAAAUUCUGGGUAAAAUUAUGAUAAUGACAUUAUUUACUUAUGUGUCUUGACCAAAUUACGUGCCAGCAGUCGCGGUAAUACGUAGAAGACUAGUGUUAUUCAUCUUUAAUAGGUUUAAAGGGUACCUAGACGGUAAAUGAAGCCCUAACCGGAACUGAUUUACUAGAGUUACUUAUGAGGGAGUUUAAAUGUACAAGAGGUGAAGAGAUGAAAUUCUGUCAUACCUUUUUUCUAUGAAUAAAUAUCGGCACAGUCAUAGGUGAAAACAUCUUCUUAUGGGAUAACUGACGUUGAGGGACGAAGGCUUUUUAUCGCCAACAGGAUUAGAUACCCUGGUAGUCAAAGCAGAAAAUGAUGAGUGUCAUAGAUUAGAUAAGUAUUUACUCUAUAAAUGAAAGUGUAAGCACUCCACCUCAAGAGUAAUUUGGCAACAUUGGAACUGAAAUCAUUAGACCGUUUCUGAAACCAGUAGUGAAGUAUGUUAUUUAAUUUGAUGAUCCGCAAAAAACCUUACCACAACUUGAAUAUUUAUGUUUUUUCUCUCUUUCUCUAUUGAGAGGUAAUGAGAGGAAUAUAGAUACAAGCGUUGCACGGCUGUCUUCAGUUAAUGUCGUGAGACUAUGGUUAGUUCCAUUAAAUUAACGUAAACCCUUACUUUAUUUUUAAAUAGAGUGGUUCUCCACUAUAUUGGAUAAGAUAACA
rnacentral:rRNA from 1 species